rnacentral:rRNA from 1 species
CCUACGGGAGGCAGCAGUGGGGAAUAUUGGACAAUGGGGGGAACCCUGAUCCAGCCAUGCCGCGUGUGUGAAGAAGGCCCUCGGGUUGUAAAGCACUUUCAGUGAGGAAGAACGCCUGGUGGUUAAUACCCAUCAGGAAAGACAUCACUCACAGAAGAAGCACCGGCUAACUCCGUGCCAGCAGCCGCGGUAAUACGGAGGGUGCGAGCGUUAAUCGGAAUUACUGGGCGUAAAGCGCGCGUAGGUGGCUUGAUAAGCCGGUUGUGAAAGCCCCGGGCUCAACCUGGGAACGGCAUCCGGAACUGGCAAGCUAGAGUGCAGGAGAGGAAGGUAGAAUUCCCGGUGUAGCGGUGAAAUGCGUAGAGAUCGGGAGGAAUACCAGUGGCGAAGGCGGCCUUCUGGACUGACACUGACGCUGAGGUGCGAAAGCGUGGGUAGCAAACAGGAUUAGAUACCCUUGUAGUC